GCAGCAACAGGACACACACACCCACACACCCCCCCACACACACACAUAUACACACCCAGACUGCUCCAGGAAAGAUGCUCCAACAAGCAGUCCGAGUGGAAUCUGAUGUUUUCGACAGAUGGCAUUUACCGUUUGUGCCAUGCUGGGCUCAGCGGGACCUGAAGCUUAAGAGGUUAGAGCUGUCAAAAAGACUCUGCGCAUAGAGUUAAUUGGCUGGGUGAGAAGGUCACAGCUCAUAGGAAACGACAAGGUGACCUUUUGUGCCUGGGUCAAGCUUGAGGACACGCUGCAACAGUGAGACACUUGCUCACCAAUCAAUAUCUCCAUUGCAAAUGGAGGACCUUAUUCACAUAGCAUUUGCAUUAAUGAUUUUUUAAGCAAUAAUGGUGAGCUUUCAUGAUAAGACUGGAUAAUAUACGUUUAUUUGUCCUCCUACAGCCACUUCUGCUCAGAUUGAAACUAUAGUAAUUAUCAGAUUUGUAGGAAACAUUCAUGUCUUCUUCAACCUUAAUUACCAGCUUGAAACUUGGAAUCUGAAACUUGUGAAACUCAGACCUGACAAGUGUGAUGCUGUGUUAUAAACACUUUAUUCCAAAUGGUAGUGGUUUACACACAUAAAUGUAGUUAGGAGUACAAUAUUAUAUAUUAUAUUAUAUUA